ACUCCUACGGGAGGCAGCAGUGGGGAAUUGUUCGCAAUGGGCGCAAGCCUGACGACGCAACGCCGCGUGGAGGAUGAAGACCUUCGGGUCGUAAACUCCUUUCGAUCGAGACGAACGGCCAUCGGGAUAACACCCUGAUGGAGUGACGGUACCGAGAGAAGAAGCCCCGGCUAACUCCGUGCCAGCAGCCGCGGUAAUACGGGGGGGGCAAGCGUUGUUCGGAAUUACUGGGCGUAAAGGGCUCGUAGGCGGCCAACUAAGUCAUACGUGAAAUCCCUCGGCUUAACCGGGGAACUGCGUCUGAUACUGGAUGGCUUGAGUUCGGGAGAGGGAUGCGGAAUUCCAGGUGUAGCGGUGAAAUGCGUAGAUAUCUGGAGGAACACCGGUGGCGAAGGCGGCAUCCUGGACCGAUACUGACGCUGAGGAGCGAGAGCCAGGGGAGCAAACGGGAUUAGAUACCCCGGUAGUCCUGGCCCUAAACGAUGAAUGCUUGGUGUGGCGGGUAUCGAUCCCUGCCGUGCCGAAGCUAACG
rnacentral:rRNA from 1 species